GGUGUGAUUCAGGUCCAAAGCCAAAGAAAGUUCUCUGUGUUAGUAGGGUAAACCUUGCAGACACCAGUUAGUUUAGUUUAACUCGGAUUCAAUUGGAGUCUGAUUAUAAGUAAUAACCCCUUAAGGGCUAUCCACAAAUUUCAUUGUAAGUUGGACUGGGAUCUAAAACAGUAAGAGCGUUUUUGAACGACGUGCUGGAGGACUGGUGUGAAGAAUCUGAAAAAUGGACUAUCCAGUUAUUUGAGUCUGCAUGGGAAGGACACCGUCGGCUCCGGAUUUGAUUACUUUUGUUUUUAAAUGGCUCCAGAAUCAGAAAGGAUUGUGACAGUGGCAUGCAAGGAGGACUCCAGUUCAACUGAGCGCAGCAUUUCCACGUGAUGUUCACCACUGGCCACACUUCAUCAGGAGAAACUCCCACAUUAGAGAUGUGUCCUUUGUGUGGAAGCUGAACAAAUAAGAGGGCUCUGUGUCCAACAGUGCGCUGCUUUGCAGGUCAGAAGGCCUGAGCUUUGUCUGAAACUUCCUUGGAGAUGCAGAAACAGUAAGAGCCAUUUGCCCAUAAAGUUCUGUAAUAUGACUCCCAUCUUCUCUCUGUGCUCCCUUCUCAUCUGUUUAUGUGAGCAUGUACAUAACUGUACAGAUAUACCUACUCCGAUGAAAGUCUGCAUCAGCUUUGGUCCUAUUGAGUUUUCUGAAGUGAUUUUUUCAAUGUGAUGUAUUUUAGCAUUAAAGUGAAUGAAUGAAUGAAGCAGUAUACUUCAGCAGCGUUGGUAAGAGGAAAGGGAGUGAAAGGGGUGUUUGAGCAAGGUAAAGUGCACAUGAAACUGGAUAAAGUCACCUGCUGCUCCCCAUCAUGCAACCUAAGAAAUGUAUAGGAAUUUACAAUGUACAAAUGUUCUGCUUUGUAACUACUGAAUUUCAUGGUUGCAUAUUUGCCACUUGUGAAUUUGUAACUGGAUAUUAGCAAUUUUCAAAUAGCUUGGGAUGUUACACAUACAGUACUUAUAAAAUAUAUGGUAAAUAUAUGAGACAACCCAUUUAUUCACUGUAGAGGGCACAAAAGGAAACAGAAAUACUGAGAACUCUUACGCAGUAAGCCAUCAGACUGGCACGAUCUCAUCAAAUAUGCAAGAGUGAGCUGAUGCGAUCCCUGAAACAUUUCUAUACAUGUAUGAUAGAAACAGUUAUGUUGUCUAGAUAAGAGACCAAAGCAAAAUAGUAUAAACAAGAUGGUGUAAACGUAAAUAAGACAUUAGAAGUUGCUGGUAGGACAAAGUUAGAAUCUUACUUGAUCCUUAUGUGUUACUAGAUGCUGAAUGGGAUGAGAUCUAGUCUGUGAGUUGUACCGUGCUUAGACAACAAUAUGUCAGAGUUAAAACUGCAGAAUGCAGUAACCUCUGGUUUUAUUAAUCUCUUCUGAAACACAUCAAGUGUCACUUUUAUUUAUUACCAUAUAAACAGGAAACAUUCUUCUAAAAAUAUGAAACGUUAUCCUCGUUCAAAGUAAUAGGUAACCAGAAUGUAGGGCAUCACUGUUUCUGCGUUGUACAGUGACUUGCAGUGGUUGCGGUACACUUUCUUUGCUGUUACUGUGAAAAUGUUGGAAAGUGUCUUUCUCUUUCGUGCUUCCACAGUCAUUAAUACAUUAAAGUUCAUGUCUUUGGCUGGGCAUCUUUGAUCAUAUUGUCCUAUCCUAACCUAACCUAGCCUAGCCUAGCCUAGCCUAGCCUAAUCUUCCUGUUUUAAUAUUUGUAUCUUAUAUCCUUGAUCAUAUCAUAUAAUUGGGCAGAUAUAAAGAAGGUAAAACCAAGAAAUAACAUUGAAUAUAUAUGAAAUAUAUAUGAAAGAAAUAUUUUUGCUGAAACAUAUAUAUAUAUAUAUUUUUUUUGCUAAGAAGUGUUUUGAGGUUGAAAAAAAUAAUCAGAAGGACAAGUAAUUUCAAAAUAUUAAUAGAAAAAUCUCAUUAAAAUUAAAAGUAAUUCCUACUGAGUAAUAUAUUUGUGAUGUAUGUCAAAUGGCCAUAAUUAUCUACCUGAGAUGUUUGUGAAUAAAUACCAAACCAAUGGUUGACAGAGAAAGGUGUUUAUUUUCCCUUUCCUUUAAUAUGUUCAGACUCCCAUACUUUUGGAUUAGGAAGUUUGUCCCUUUUCAUUAAGGCCCUUUGUUUGAAACCUGCUCCUAAAUUCAUCUGUAUGCAUCAUCUUCAGUAAUAUUGAGAGUUGUACCUUCCACGAGUCUUUGGCACUGUAUGAUGAAGCGCUCUAUUUAUAUUAAAAUGAAGAAGUUCCUAAGGGAGACAUAGAACAGAAUGAAACAACAAACAGAGCUUUAGAGACUGAAUGCGUGAAGUGACAGUGACAGUGAAGUGGUAGCUCUUUUUACAGAGUGGCCCUAAGGACUGCAGAAAGACUUAUAGCAUGAGCCACAGUGGCUUGAACUUGGCAGCUCUUACAGGCUUAAGGACUUGCCAUGAGAAGAUAUUUUACAAUACAGAAGUUGAUCAAAUAAUUUCUCAAGAUUGCACAUCUUGAUUUGGGAUGUCACUGACAUAAUACAUUGCACGAGGCUUUGCUAUUUAUAAAUUAAAGGAAUUAUUUUAACAUCAAACCAUAUUUCUUCAUUUAAAUCAGCACACAACUAUACUGCUAUUUUUUUGAUUUACUUAGUCAAGAUAAUAGCAGAGAAAAGACAUAGACGUCACAUUAUACGGCAGCUAAAUGCCUUCCUGUUUUCAGCUCGAGGGAAGGGAGAAAGUGAAUUAAGCUGCUAUUGAAAUAUGCCCUGCAGGUCAAUUUGAAUCGGGCAAGAGUGCUAUAAAGUGGUCUAUUGUAGGGGGAAAGCUGUUAAAUUGCCUGGAGGACUGGCUCAACUUCAUCAUGAUAAGGGAAUCUAAGGGAAUCCGUGAGGUUGCUGUGCCCUCUGUGCUAAUGGUACGAACAAUCCACUGGCCAUCCAAAGAUAUCU
ensembl:lncRNA